AUUCCACAAAUCAUUUCAACGAAUCUAUUUAUUUUUUCCAAUGAAAACACAGUUUGCUGAGAAAUUUCUAAUCACUUAUUUUUCAGAAAAAAAGUUAAAAAUGUGGACCUCAAUCCAGAAUUCUUUCCUGAGACAUAUUUCGUUCUCUCACAGAUUUGGUCUGACAAAUAAAAGAAUUGGGAGUUGUACUAGAAAUAACAAUGGUCUCUCACCUGUAUUUUGUUAGAAAAGGACUCUUAUUAAUGGUGAAACUCUUCUUGGAACUUUCUUUGGACUGCAGUGACAUCUACAGAAGCUGACAAGAACCUCAUGAGGUUCAAUAAGGACAAGUUGAAAGCCCUG
rnacentral:lncRNA from 1 species